rnacentral:rRNA from 1 species
UACCUGCAGCUCAAGUGGUGAUCAUUAAUAUUGGGCCUAAAACGUCCGUAGCCGGUUUAGUAAAUGUCUGGGUAAAUCGUAUAGCUUAACUAUACGAAUUCCGGGUAGACUGCUAAACUUGAGACCGGGAGAGGCUAGAGGUACUCCUGGGGUAGAGGUGAAAUUCUGUAAUCCUAGGGGGACCACCAGUGGCGAAGGCGUCUAGCCAGAACGGGUCUGACGGUGAGGAACGAAGCCCUGGGGCGCAAACCGGAUUAGAUACCCGGGUAGUCCAGGGUGUAAACGCUGCUCGCUUGAUGUUAGUUGGGCUCCGAGCCCAACUAGUGUCGGAGAGAAGUUGUUAAGCGAGCUGCCUGGGAAGUACGGUCGCAAGACUGAAACUUAAAGGAAUUGGCGGGGAGCACAGCAACGGGUGGAGCGUGCGGUUU